GCGUGCAAGGGGCCAAGCAUG
rnacentral:miRNA from 1 species